rnacentral:rRNA from 1 species
GCACAAGCGGUGGAGCAUGUGGUUUAAUUCGACGCAACGCGCAGAACCUUACCAGGGUUUGACAUCCUGUGCUACACCCGGAAACGGGUGGUCCCCGCAAGGGGCGCAGAGACAGGUGCUGCAUGGCUGUCGUCAGCUCGUGUCGUGAGAUGUUGGGUUAAGUCCCGCAACGAGCGCAACCCUCGCCUUUAGUUGCCAUCAUUCAGUUGGGCACUCUAGAGGGACCGCCGGCGACAAGCCGGAGGAAGGUGGGGAUGACGUCAAGUCCUCAUGGCCCUUACAUCCUGGGCUACACACGUGCUACAAUGGCGGUAACAAUGGGCAGCCAACUCGCGAGAGUGAGCUAAUCCCAAAAAGCCGUCCCAGUUCAGAUUGCACUCUGCAACUCGGGUGCAUGAAGGUGGAAUCGCUAGUAAUCGCAGAACAGCAGGCUGCGGUGAAUACGUUCCCGGGC